GAACGGGUGAGUAACACGUGGGCAAUCUGCCCUUCACUCUGGGACAAGCCCUGGAAACGGGGUCUAAUACCGGAUACGACUACUGAGGGCAUCCUUGGUGGUGGAAAGCUCCGGCGGUGAAGGAUGAGCCCGCGGCCUAUCAGCUUGUUGGUGAGGUAACGGCUCACCAAGGCGACGACGGGUAGCCGGCCUGAGAGGGCGACCGGCCACACUGGGACUGAGACACGGCCCAGACUCCUACGGGAGGCAGCAGUGGGGAAUAUUGCACAAUGGGCGAAAGCCUGAUGCAGCGACGCCGCGUGAGGGAUGACGGCCUUCGGGUUGUAAACCUCUUUCAGCAGGGAAGAAGCGAAAGUGACGGUACCUGCAGAAGAAGCGCCGGCUAACUACGUGCCAGCAGCCGCGGUAAUACGUAGGGCGCAAGCGUUGUCCGGAAUUAUUGGGCGUAAAGAGCUCGUAGGCGGCUUGUCACGUCGAUUGUGAAAGCCCGAGGCUUAACCUCGGGUCUGCAGUCGAUACGGGCUAGCUAGAGUGUGGUAGGGGAGAUCGGAAUUCCUGGUGUAGCGGUGAAAUGCGCAGAUAUCAGGAGGAACACCGGUGGCGAAGGCGGAUCUCUGGGCCAUUACUGACGCUGAGGAGCG
rnacentral:rRNA from 1 species